rnacentral:rRNA from 1 species
UACAGAGACCUCAAGCGUUAUCCGGAAUCAUUGGGCGUAAAGCGUACCGAGCGGUGGUUGACAAAGGCAGACGUGAAAUCUCUCAGCUUAACUGGGAGACUGUCUUUUGAUACUUGUCAGCUCGAGGGGCAAAGAGGAAGCUGGAACGAACGGUGUAGUAGUGAAAUGCGUUGAUAUCGUUCGGAACACCAAUAGCGAAGGCAGGCUUCUGGGUGCCACCUGACACUGCUAGGACGAAAGCGUGGGGAGCGAAUGGG